CCACACCUCAAUCCGGUAUGUUCCAACAGGUGCCUCAGAGUUCAAUUUGUAAGAAAGCUGCAGUAAUGUUCCGUUCGGUGCCUGAUUCAACCACUGUCCAAUCCGGUUUGUGCCAUACUAUUUAGGUAAAGAUAUACACAUCUCGUUGACUGAUCUGAGUUUGCUGUCAAGGGUUAUCACUCUGAAAUGUACUGCAAGAAGAGAGGACAGAUAAAGUCUGAGGAAAUCUUCUGGGGAAUGAUUUAGUUUCACACACAGCAGACUAGACAUUGGACACAUCUUUUUAUUCUUUAAAAUCCAACUGUUUUAGAUCAAUUGGACAUAAUCAGUGAUUGCAAUGGAAUGAUUUUAGUUCAAAUACGUUUAAAUGUUGAGUGAUUCAGUCAAAUGAAACUGAAAUUACCAGUUUGUCCUGGGAGGUAGAUGGGUUUAUCCGUUUGGAUGAACGUCUGUGGGUUGUAAGAUUUGAUCAUCACUUUCCUCACUUCUUUCAUUACAAAGUCUUGGCCUUGAAGAAUAACCUCCAAUUCCUGUACAGAAUUCUGCACUUU